UAGUUCUACUCCAUUCUUGAU
rnacentral:piRNA from 1 species